CCUACGGGUGGCAGCAGUGGGGGAUAUUGCUCAAUGGGCGGAACCCUGAUGCAGCGACGCCGCGUGGGUGAAGGAGUGCUUCGGCAUGUAAAGCCCUAUCGGCAGGGAAGAAGCAAGACGGUACCUGACCAAGAAGCCCCGGCUAACUACGUGCCAGCAGCCGCGGUAAUACGGAGGGGGCGAGCGUUAUCCGGAUUUACUGGGUGUAAAGGGAGCGUAGAUGGCGAUGCAAGCCAGGUGUGAAAGCUCGGGGCCCAACCCAGAGACUGCCGUUGGAACUGGAUGGCUGGAGUGCGGGUGGGGCAGGCGGAAUUCGUGGUGUAGCGGUGAAAUGCGUAGAUAUCAGGAGGAACACCGACGGCGAAGACAGCCUGCUGGACUGCGACUGACGUUGAGGCUCGAAAGCGUGGGGAGCGAACAGGAUUAGAUACCCGGGUAGUC
rnacentral:rRNA from 1 species